GACGAACGCUGGCGGCGUGCCUAAUACAUGCAAGUAGAACGCUGAAGGAGGAGCUUGCUUCUCUGGAUGAGUUGCGAACGGGUGAGUAACGCGUAGGUAACCUGCCUGGUAGCGGGGGAUAACUAUUGGAAACGAUAGCUAAUACCGCAUAAGAGUAGAUGUCGCAUGACAUUUGCUUAAAAGGUGCAAUUGCAUCACUACCAGAUGGACCUGCGUUGUAUUAGCUAGUUGGUGAGGUAACGGCUCACCAAGGCAACGAUACAUAGCCGACCUGAGAGGGUGAUCGGCCACACUGAGACUGAGACACGGCCCAGACUCACACGGGAGGCAGCAGUAGGGCAUCUUCGGCAAUGGACGGAAGUCUGACCGAGCAACGCCGCGUGAGUGAAGAAGGAUUUCGGAUCGUAAAGCUCUGUUGUAAGAGAAGAACGAGUGUGAGAGUGGAAAGUUCACACUGUGACGGUAUCUUACCAGAAAGGGACGGCUAACUACGUG
rnacentral:rRNA from 1 species